GUUGGGUUAAGUCCCGCAACGAGCGCAACCCUUGAUUUUAGUUGCCAGCACUUUGGGUGGGCACUCUAGAAUGACUGCCGGUGACAAACCGGAGGAAGGCGGGGAUGACGUCAAAUCAUCAUGCCCCUUAUGACCUGGGCUACACACGUACUACAAUGGCCAGUACAACGGGAAGCGAAGCCGCGAGGUGGAGCCAAUCCUAUCAAAGCUGGUCUCAGUUCGGAUUGCAGGCUGCAACUCGCCUGCAUGAAGUCGGAAUUGCUAGUAAUCGCGGAUCAGCAUGCCGCGGUGAAUACGUUCCCGGGUCUUGUACACACCGCCCGUCACACCACGAGAGUUUACAACACCCGAAGUCGGUGAGGUAACCGCAAGGAGCCAGCCGCCGAAGGUGGGGUAGAUGAUUGGGGUGAAGUCGUAACAAGGUAGCCGUAUCGGAAGGUGCGGCUGGAUCACCUCCUUUCUGCGGCCGCUU
rnacentral:rRNA from 1 species